rfam:Idiomarina baltica OS145 scf_1099451322326 genomic scaffold, whole genome shotgun sequence.
GCGCUCGUAGCUCAACUGGAUAGAGUACCUGGCUACGAACCAGGCGGUUGGAGGUUCGAGUCCUCCCGAGCGCG